UCGCGCCUGCGUUUUGGGUGGCUGGCAGCUGCGUUGUCUGAGGGAGGAUUAGCCUGGUGUGGUGAAUGUUGACCUUAGGAUCUCUCAAGGGUGUGGGGAGUGGUGAGAAUCGGCAGGCUGGUCCCCGCAUCAUGUGUUCACAGCCCGGCCAUUAACUGCUGGACCCUGUGCUGGGCUCUUGGGAUGGAGGGGUUGUAAUAGAUGACCCUCACGCUUGGCAGGCAGUUGGGUUCAGGGAGUUAUUAUGCAAUCGCAAACAUAUUCUUUACUUUUAAAUUAUGUAAGUAAUGCAAGAAUGCAUUAUAAUUUAAAAAAAAAAAAGACAAGACAACUAACUAUACCACUUACCGUGUAAGGAUUUGUACGUAUUAAGCCGUAUAGCAGUUAGCUGUGGAACCUUCAAGAGCGUAGGUAUCCAAACGUGAUGUGCGCAUACUUCGGUUGGAUUUCUUAAAUAUAACUGGGAGCAUAGGGAUAAUACUGCUGCACAAUUGUCUUCUCUUCUUUUUUCUUUCUGGGCCUGUAAAUGUUGUAUUUAUAACCAAUGAAGAAGCCUAUUUAUUGUAACUUGUUCUGUGUAUUUCUCAUCACAUUUUAUUUAAGACUUUCUAUUUUGGGGGGCUUCCCUGGUGGCUCUCCCCCCCCCCCGCCCCACUUUUUCACCUGCUACAAACAAUGCUCAGUAACCAUGGAUGUGUGUAUGUCUUUCUGUGCAUGUUGGGGUAUUUCCAACAGGUUUCCCCAAAGUCAGAUUUUACUCAGUGUGCAUGUUAAUGUCAGUAAACACUGCCAUACUGCUCUCCAGAAGGGCUCGAUCAAUUUUAAAUAUUUGAAAGUGUUGUUGUUCUGUUGGUAGUCGCCAAGUCCUGUCUUUUGAGACUCCAUGGUCUGUAGCCUGCCAGGCUCCUCUGUCCAUGAGAUUUCCCAGUCAAGAAUAGUGAAGUGGGUUGCCAUUUCCUUCUGCAGAGGAUCUUCCUGACCACAAGGAUUGGAUGUCACCUGAAGUUUUCAAAGAAACGCCUCUUAUUAAAUACCUGACUGCCCAUACCCUUAGACCUAACUUUGAGAGCCCACCUGCAUCUCCACUUCCUGAAACUACCCAGACGAAUCUACAAGGUUGGAGGAAAAAUGUCUUCUUCAACAGAGUGAACCUGCAAAACCCUAAGCUCCCCAACCUUGGACCCUAACAAAGGCAGAGCUCCAGAUUCUCUCCAAGUUCUCUCUCCCUCUCCACCUCUCCCACCCCAUGACUUCACAGUGUGGCCCUGAAGCAUGCUGUGGACUCUCCAAAACCUGCAAAGAAAGACUGGUUUCCUGAGGUUUUUUUUUCUUAAGGGCAAGGAACCAACUUUUUCAGAGAUCCUGAGAGCUCUGCUUGGCCGACACUGGCUUAGAUCUGCCCAUUCUUGAAUCACCAAGUGUAAAGGAGCAAAGAGGAUGUACCUAGAAUGCUGUCUUCUCCCAGCCUCGAUCUGAGACAUAUAUCCUUCAGAUCUCAGCUCAAACACUACUUUCUCAGGGAGUUCCCCCUCCCUGAGUUAUGUGGUCUCUCAGGACUCUACUUUUUUUUUUCCUUUUAGAAC